ACGGGAGGCAGCAGUGGGGAAUAUUGCACAAUGGGCGAAAGCCUGAUGCAGCGACGCCGCGUGAGCGAAGAAGUAUCUCGGUAUGUAAAGCUCUAUCAGCAGGGAAGAAGAAUGACGGUACCUGACUAAGAAGCACCGGCUAAAUACGUGCCAGCAGCCGCGGUAAUACGUAUGGUGCAAGCGUUAUCCGGAUUUACUGGGUGUAAAGGGAGCGCAGGCGGUACGGCAAGUCUGAUGUGAAAGCCCGGGGCCCAACCCCGGUACUGCAUUGGAAACUGUCGGACUAGAGUGUCGGAGGGGUAAGCGGAAUUCCUAGUGUAGCGGUGAAAUGCGUAGAUAUUAGGAGGAACACCGGUGGCGAAGGCGGCUUACUGGACGAUAACUGACGCUGAGGCUCGAAAGCGUGGGGAGCAAACAGGAUUAGAUACCCUGGUA
rnacentral:rRNA from 1 species